rnacentral:rRNA from 1 species
UACGUAGGGCGCAAGCGUUAUCCGGAAUUAUUGGGCGUAAAGCGCACGUAGGCGGCUUUGUAAGUUAGAGGUGAAAGCCCGGGGCUCAACUCCGGAAUUGCCUUUAAGACUGCAUCGCUAGAAUUGUGGAGAGGUAAGUGGAAUUCCGAGUGUAGAGGUGAAAUUCGUAGAUAUUCGGAAGAACACCAGUGGCGAAAGCGGCUCUCUGGGACGGUACUGACGCUGAGACGCGAAAGCGUGGGGAGCAAACAGG